UAGAAGAAGAGCUACAAUGAAGCAGAAAAGCGAACACGUGAAAGACGGAAUCAGGCCGUGAGCAUGUGUGGCUUUGCCCAGAAGCAGGGUCCACUGGGAGCAAUCAGCAAGCAAGGUGAGGCCACAGAACCCACAAAGGCGACCUGGGAGAGAGAGAAGCGCUCUUCAGCAUUCCCCUGGUGGGGUGAAGUCUUAAGCCUUGCUCUCACAGUGACACUGGGGGUGAAGUGAGGGUCUGCUGCCCCUUGUGCUACAUUUUGCUUUGUAAAGGGAACUGAGAGCAUCAUAUGGAGCAAUGCCCUUAAGGAAGGAAGGUAUACGUGAUCUUUACAACCUCACAGUAGAGUCAAUUUCUAGAAAGAAAGAAAAACCAAAACAAAAAAACAAAAAACAAAAAGAACGCCUCCAGAACACAAGGGAAAGUCAGCAGCCUAAAGAAUGCCUAAACUCUUCACAGGGAUGAAGGCGUUCCAAGUGCUGGUUUCCGGGGCGCUACAAACACACAGCCAUCCUUCCUGAACCCACCCCUUCCCAAACUGAGUGGGUAAGUUUCUGAAAUGUCAGAAGACAAAUGGGCUCAUAUUUUUCCUGAUUUUUUUUUCUAUUCACCAGGGUUUCUAAGCAAAGUCUCUUAGUCUUCCUACAAAACAAGUGAGAUAUAAUUUGACUUUUAUUAAAAGAGAUCCGGUAAGAGCUGAGCGUUUCUUUCACAAUCGAUGUGUUCUUCAUCGAGGACGACUGUUGCAAAACUACCAUUUGCUUGCUCACGGAGAAGGAAAGGUGAGCCAAUGUAGUUCAUAGUUCCUCAGCCGGUGGCAGGAUGAUGUAUUCUCCUUCCCGCUACGCUUGGGUUUUUGCCUAGGAGGAGUUUCUGUAGGUCUUCAGCAUGCUGUGACAAUCGUUGUGAGUUCGUAUGUGCACCUGUCCUGUUGUUUCUGGAAUACACUGCUUUCUUAAAGUCAUCCACCACCACUGGCUCAUACAAUCCUUCUGUCUCCUUGUCCUCAAAGAUCCCUGAGCCUUGAGUUUGACGAUGGGAUGGGGAUUUAACCUCUGCUCGCCAUCAUUAUCAGUUCACUGCGCUUCUGAGUACAAACCACAAAGCUCCUGAAAAUAAACCAUGGGAGCCGAAAAGCAGUGGAAUGACACACUCAAGCAUCUGGCCGAAAGAUGAGAAUUCUAUAUCCAGCAAAACUAUCUUACAUAUAUACACAUUCCCAGAUGAUCAGGACCUGAGUUUGUGGAUAGCUGGCUUAUCCUGCGAGAGUCAUGAAGGAAUCCUAGUUGAACUGAAACACCAUUACAGAGUAAAUGAGUCUGUGAGAAGAAAUAGGUAAACAUCAUGAUACAGGAAAAUAUGAAAGUCUGCAGAUCUGUCUUCUCCUUAUAUUUCUUUUCCCCUGUAAGAUUUAAGAAAAUUUCUUAUACUAAUAAUGUAUAAUUUCUGCUAAUGGGUAACUAAUGUGUAGCCAUGUUAUUUAUUAGAAAGCAACAAGAUGAGGGGACACAAAUAAAGUUAUAGGGCAGUAAAUGCUGUGCAUAUCAUUAAAAUCCACUUGACAUUAAUAGAAACUAAACUGUGAGAAAUUAAAUGUUAAUUUAGAAGAUAAAAACUCUGUAAAACCAGGUCAUUCUGGUUUUUUUAUGGCUGUAUAAUAUCCAUUGUGUAGUUAUACUACAUUUUGUUUAUUAUAUAACAGAUGAAUCUUGAAAACAGUAUAUUAUAUGAAAGAAGCUAAACACAAAAAGCCACAUAUUUCAUGAUUCAAUUUGUAUGCAUUUUCUGAGUAUGUUGACGCACAGAAAUAGAAAGUAGGUAAGUAGUUGGAGAGGUGAAGAAGAAUGAGAGAUGAGAAAUGAUUGCUAAUGAGUACAGGAUUUGGGGGGCAUAAUGAAAGUGCCCCAGACUGGAUGUUUAUGGUAGGUAGUCAACCUUGUCAAUACACUAAAAAUCCAGUGGCUUUUAUCCUUUAAAAGGUUUAGCUUUAUGAUAUGUGAAUUUUCUAAAGUUAUAAUAAAUGUUAUUCAUGUUUCA